rnacentral:rRNA from 1 species
AACGCUGGCGGCAUGCCUUACACAUGCAAGUCGAACGGUAACAGGUCUUCGGAUGCUGACGAGUGGCGAACGGGUGAGUAAUACAUCGGAACGUGCCCGAGAGUGGGGGAUAACGAAGCGAAAGCUUUGCUAAUACCGCAUACGAUCUCAGGAUGAAAGCAGGGGACCGCAAGGCCUUGCGCUCACGGAGCGGCCGAUGGCAGAUUAGGUAGUUGGUGGGAUAAAAGCUUACCAAGCCGACGAUCUGUAGCUGGUCUGAGAGGACGACCAGCCACACUGGGACUGAGACACGGCCCAGACUCCUACGGGAGGCAGCAGUGGGGAAUUUUGGACAAUGGGCGCAAGCCUGAUCCAGCCAUGCCGCGUGCAGGAUGAAGGCCUUCGGGUUGUAAACUGCUUUUGUACGGAACGAAAAGACUCUGGUUAAUACCUGGGGUCCAUGACGGUACCGUAAGAAUAAGCACCGGCUAACUACGUGCCAGCAGCCGCGGUAAUACGUAGGGUGCGAGCGUUAAUCGGAAUUACUGGGCGUAAAGCGUGCGCAGGCGGUUAUGUAAGACAGAUGUGAAAUCCCCGGGCUCAACCUGGGAACUGCAUUUGUGACUGCAUAGCUAGAGUACGGCAGAGGGGGAUGAAAUUCCGCGUGUAGCAGUGAAAUGCGUAGAUAUGCGGAGGACACCGAUGGCGAAGGCAAUCCCCUGGGCCUGUACUGACGCUCAUGCACGAA